GAAAUCCCUCAGAUGUAAACAAAACAGAAAGUUGAUUGCUUAAUAAAGAAGGUAGAAUUUCUCUGUAAACACUUGUCAUUGAUGAACGAAAUUUCGCUCGAUGCUUGCUUGUGAAACAGCCUUCCAAAACAUAUAGUACUCUCUUUAUGAAGGGUUACAUGAAAGGAGAAAUUACGAGAAUUCGGAUACUGGUACUGUUCCGGUACAAGUCCGAUACCAGUAGUGUUGUGCAGCCGUACUACUUUUGUUAAUUGUUUCAGUUCUUUCUGGUAGAACAUUAGAUACUGUGUAUUAUGCCAUCGCAUACUGGGAGCAACCACACUUGGACAAAAGCCACAGGAUGGUAAGAUAGUGCAGCCACAAGUUUCGAUGAAGCUUACGUUGCCAACGUCACAAAUAGUGAUCCCAGCAUAAAGACGUAUUGCAUCACAGUAUUUUACGUUUACGUUGCUGACGUCAACAGGAUUAGGAAACGUGUCACCAAAUACUAACGGCGGGAAAAUAUUCUUAAUAUUUGCUGUUCUGCUUGGUUGGCUGCUGAGUACUGCAAUCUUCGACGGUAACGUCUCUUCCAAAACGAUGCGGGUGUAUCAGCGGACAGAUGACUACCAA
rnacentral:lncRNA from 1 species